AAAAAACAACCAGAAAAGAAUAAAUUGCAUAAAAGAGCCUAUGGAACAGACAUUUUCUUCAAAUUUAGUAUGAGGGGAAAAAACUGUGGGGUUUUUUUGUUUUGUUUUUUAAGAAAAACAAGAUGGUAUGUGUCCUUUUGUCAAAUCACAAUUACAAAAUUCAGAUUUUUUUUUUGCCUAAUUCUAGGAAACUAAAAGAUAAUCUUACUGCUCAACUAUAGAUCUAUACUAGGUUAUAGAAUCAUAUCUUAAAAUAAGCAAUCUCAAAUCCUUUAGGAAACAAUAGAAAAAUGUAGGUAAUUUAAAGGAAUAAAAUACAAAAUUAAGGUGCUAUGUCAAUAAAAAAACUUAAAUAUCUGAAGUGGGGUCAGGUAAACAAUGAACCCCAGAGGAAGUGAAUUCUGAAGAGAGCUGAUAUCUUGAACUGAGAGCAGUGGUAGGGUAUUAGAAUAAGGGAAACUCUAUACUAAGGUUCGUAAAAGGGAAGGGAUAAAGCACUCGAGACUCAUGACUUCAGCUUAGUUUUCAGUAUGCAUUGUAACUUUUCAAAAUAUCAGAUACACUUAUUUUAGUUAAAAAUUUAUAUAAUAUAUGCCUAUUACUAAAACACACGUAAGAAAUAGAGGUCACCCACUUCCACCUUGUAAGAAGCAUUGUUAUGUUUAUUUUGUAUCCUUCCACUGUGUGCUGUUGCUUUUUUGAAAAUUAAAAACACAGAUGACAGCAUACUAUACUUUCAGUUUUGAACUGCUUUUUUAUUUAAUAUGUAAUAGAUGCUCCUCGACUUACGAUGGGGUUACAUAUGGAUAAACCCAUUCAAAGCUGAAAAUAUGUCGAAAUGUAUGUAAUGCACCUAACCUACAAAAUAUCACAGCCUAGACCAGCCCGUUUCUGCUGACUGUGUAAUGCUUCCCUACACUGAAGAAAGUGUAAGGCAAACCUGGGUAAGGCAAGGACCACUGAAUCUUGAUCUUUCUCUUUCAACAGAAAGGAGGUAUGUAUUUCAGAGGUCCAAGUACAACCUGCUUGAGCCUCAGACUGCUUGGAUCUCAAUACCAAGUCUGCCCCUUACUUGUGCAAGUUAUUUCAUUUCUGUGCCUCAUUUUCCUCAUCUGCAAAAUAAUAAUAGAUGCUAAUACCUGCCAUAAUAAUAGUAAUACCUGCCAUAAAGCUAUUACAAGAAUUAUCAAAUAUGUCAAAUGCAUGGCAAAGUGCAUAUAAUAUGUACUUAAUAAAGGGUAACGUCAUUACCACUGUCGUGAAUACAAACAGACCAACCUUGUUCUCAGUGACUGCAGUACUCCAGUCACUCCCCUAUUGGGAAACACAGGAUCAGCAGUACUCUGAUAAGGACAUUUGUCCAUAUGUGUUUGCCUACUUUGUGCAAGUUUAUUUGGAGAGUAAAUGCCCAGAAGUACAAAGGUUAUGUGUAUUUUCAAUUUGACAGAUAUUGCUCAACUGCCCUUCUAAAAUGGCUACAUCAAUUUAUACGUGCACACAUGGUCCUACUGUGAAAACAGCCCAAACCAUCAAAAGCAAUGUAAAGGCUGCUGUAACAGGCUGCUUUCCUGUCACUGACGCUUUUCAAAGACUAUUAUGUCUUAGUGUGGGCCAUUGAGAACACUUUUUUAAAACUAUGAAUUGGUAUUUUAAGACAAAUACCUUACACGGUCCUUCAGAAAACCUUUAUAUUGUGGGGGUUCUACUGUACAUUUGUUCAAGACAUUUAGCUAAUUACUGAGGAGCAAAGGUCUCUCUAGGCACUAAUACAAAGGUGGCCAUUCCCUUCUUCCUUCUAAAGAACAUGCAGUGUCGUGUGGCCAGUGGAAGAGAAAGAUAAUUGUACUGUUUUUUUUCAUCUCAUUUUAAAAACAAAGUGUGGUAAACACUGAAACAGUGUAUAAACAAGGAGCAUUUGCCUUGGGGUGAGGGUUGGUGUAUCAGCAAAAGCUUAACUCAUAGAUGGUGUAAAUGUUAGGCCUUAAGGCUGGAAACAACCUGUCAAUUUAACCCACAGGGGCCCCAAGCUAAGUAAGUCAUGCCUGUGCCUUUACUUUCCUUCUCAUCUGAGAACAUUACAACUUCUUGUACUGAAUGAAACACGGAGGAAAGAACCAGAAGGAUAUGGACACAGUUGCAGAAAAAGUCAUCAGAAGAAAGAAACACUAGCCGGCAGAGAAGGUUGGACCCACUCGACUCACAAUCUCACUUUAGUGAGAAGAAGUGCUCAUGUUCAUGAACUGCAUGCAGUAUGUGAGCCUGAGCCCCACCCAGAGGGAAUCGGCAUUUCCAGGACCCUGAACCAGUAAUUGGGCAGAUGGGAUGAACAGCUACCAGGAAGCCAGAUACUAUGGAAUCACUUCAAGUUUCCACAGCAAGAUGAUCUUUUACCAAAAUCUGGAGUUGCCCUAAAGCAACUAGUCUCAAUUCAUUUAAAAAGACGUAAGGUCCACAAUAUCAUUUUAUCUUCUUUGGCUAGUUACUGACUUCAGAGC